rnacentral:piRNA from 1 species
UGGUACGCUGUUCCAUCUGGAUGAGUGGGC